rnacentral:rRNA from 1 species
AGCAGCCGCCACGGUAAAACGAAGGGUGCAAGCGUUACUCGGAAUUACUGGGCGUAAAGCGUGCGUAGGUGGUGGUUUAAGUCCGUUGUGAAAGCCCUGGGCUCAACCUGGGAAUUGCAGUGGAUACUGGGUCACUAGAGUGUGGUAGAGGAUAGUGGAAUUUCCGGUGUAGCAGUGAAAUGCGUAGAGAUCGGAAGGAACAUCUGUGGCGAAGGCGACUAUCUGGGCCAACACUGACACUGAGGCACGAAAGCGUGGGGAGCAAACAGGAUUAGAUACCCCCGUAGUCCCUGUCUCUUAUAC